rnacentral:rRNA from 1 species
CCUACGGGGAGCUGCAGUGAGGAAUAUUGGUCAAUGGACGAGAGUCUGAACCAGCCAAGUAGCGUGAAGGAUGACUGCCCUAUGGGUUGUAAACUUCUUUUAUAUGGGAAUAAAAUGUUCCACGUGUGGGAUUUUGUAUGUACCAUAUGAAUAAGGAUCGGCUAACUCCGUGCCAGCAGCCGCGGUAAUACGGAGGAUCCGAGCGUUAUCCGGAUUUAUUGGGUUUAAAGGGAGCGUAGGUGGAUUGUUAAGUCAGUUGUGAAAGUUUGCGGCUCAACCGUAAAAUUGCAGUUGAAACUGGCAGUCUUGAGUACAGUAGAGGUGGGCGGAAUUCGUGGUGUAGCGGUGAAAUGCUUAGAUCUCACGAAGAACUCCGAUUGCGAAGGCAGUUCACUGGACUGCAACUGACACUGAGGCUCGAACGUGUGGGUAUCAAACAGGAUUAGAUACCCGGGUAGUC